rnacentral:rRNA from 1 species
UAACACGUAAGUAAUCUACCUUUGGAUGGGGAAUAACAGUCGGAAACGACUGCUAAUACCGCAUAAUGCAGCGGCACCGUAAGGUGACAGUUGUUAAAGCAUUUAUGCGCUUAAAGAGGAGCUUGCGGCAGAUUAGCUAGUUGGUAAGGUAAUGGCUUACCAAGGCAACGAUCUGUAUCCGGUCUAAGAGGACGGUCGGACACACUGACACUGAAUAACGGGUCAG